rnacentral:rRNA from 1 species
UACACUCCUACGGGAGGCAGCAGUGGGGAAUAUUGCACAAUGGGCGCAAGCCUGAUGCAGCCAUGCCGCGUGUAUGAAGAAGGCCUUCGGGUUGUAAAGUACUUUCAGCGGGGAGGAAGGCAAUACGGUUAAUAACCGUGUUGAUUGACGUUACCCGCAGAAGAAGCACCGGCUAACUCCGUGCCAGCAGCCGCGGUAAUACGGAGGGUGCAAGCGUUAAUCGGAAUUACUGGGCGUAAAGCGCACGCAGGCGGUCUGUCAAGUCGGAUGUGAAAUCCCCGGGCUCAACCUGGGAACUGCAUUCGAAACUGGCAGGCUUGAGUCUUGUAGAGGGGGGUAGAAUUCCAGGUGUAGCGGUGAAAUGCGUAGAGAUCUGGAGGAAUACCGGUGGCGAAGGCGGCCCCCUGGACAAAGACUGACGCUCAGGUGCGAAAGCGUGGGGAGCAAACAGGAUUAGAAACCCUGGUAGUCCCAUG